UUUUUUUAACCGACUUCCAAAAAAGGAGGAGGUUCUCAAUUCGACUGUAUUUUUUUUAACCGACUUCCAAAAAAGGAGGAGGUUCUCAAUUCGACUGUAUUUUUUUUUUUUUUUUAUGUAUGUUACAUCAGAACUUUUGACUGCGUAGACCGAUUUCGACAAAUUUUGUUUUAAUCGAAAGGUGGUGUGUGCCAAUUGGUCCCAUUUAAAUUUAUUUGAGAUCUAACAACUACUUUUCGAGCU
rnacentral:misc_RNA from 1 species